rnacentral:tRNA from 4 species
GGGCCGUUAGCUCAGUUGGUAGAGCAGCUGACUCUUAAUCAGCGGGUCGAAGGUUCGAGUCCUUCACGGCCCACCA